rnacentral:rRNA from 1 species
GAUGAACGCUGGCGGCGUGCCUAAUACAUGCAAGUCGAGCGAACGGACGAGAAGCUUGCUUCUCUGAUGUUAGCGGCGGACGGGUGAUUAACACGUGGAUACCCUACCUAUAAGACUGGGAUAACUUCGGGAAACCGGAGCUAAUACCGGAUAAUAUUUUGAACCUCAUGGUUCAACAGUGAAAGACGGUCUUGCUGUCACUUAUAGAUGGAUCCGCGCUGCAUUAGCUAGUUGGUAAGGUAACGGCUUACCAAGGCAACGAUGCGUAGCCGACCUGAGAGGGUGAUCAGCCACACUGGAACUGAGACACGGUCCAGACUCCUACGGGAGGCAGCAGUAGGGAAUCUUCCGCAAUGGGCGAAAGCCUGAUGGAGCAACGCCGCGUGAGUGAUGAAGGUCUUCGGAUCGUAAAACUCUGUUAUUAGGGAAGAACAGAUGUGUAAGUAACUGUGCACAUCUUGACGUUACCUACUCAGAAAGCCACGGCUAACUACGUG